rnacentral:rRNA from 1 species
GAUGAACGCUGGCGGCGUGCCUAAUACAUGCAAGUCGAGCGAAUGGAUUAAGAGCUUGCUCUUAUGAAGUUAGCGGCGGACGGGUGAGUAACACGUGGGUAACCUGCCCAUAAGACUGGGAUAACUCCGGGAAACCGGGGCUAAUACCGGAUAAUAUUUUGAACUGCAUGGUUCAAAAUUGAAAGGCGGCUUCGGCUGUCACUUAUGGAUGGACCUGCGUCGCAUUAGCUAGUUGGUGAGGUAACGGCUCACCAAGGCAACGAUGCGUAGCCGACCUGAGAGGGUGAUCGGCCACACUGGGACUGAGACACGGCCCAGACUCCUACGGGAGGCAGCAGUAGGGAAUCUUCCGCAAUGGACGAAAGUCUGACGGAGCAACGCCGCGUGAGUGAUGAAGGCUUUCGGGUCGUAAAACUCCGUUGUUAGGGAAGAACAAGUGCUAGUUGAAUAAGCUGGCACCUUGACGGUACCUAACCAAAAAGCCACGGCUAACUACGUGCCAGCCGCCGCCGUAA